CCCUUAGAGUUUGAUCCUGGCUCAGGACGAACGCUGGCGGCGUGCCUAAUACAUGCAAGUCGAACGAAACUUUCUUACACCGAAUGCUUGCAUUCACCGUAAGAAGUUGAGUGGCGGACGGGUGAGUAACACGUGGGUAACCUGCCUAAAAGAAGGGGAUAACACUUGGAAACAGGUGCUAAUACCGUAUAUCUCUAAGGAUCGCAUGAUCCUUAGAUGAAAGAUGGUUCUGCUAUCGCUUUUAGAUGGACCCGCGGCGUAUUAACUAGUUGGUGGGGUAACGGCCUACCAAGGUGAUGAUACGUAGCCGAACUGAGAGGUUGAUCGGCCACAUUGGGAAUGAGACACGGCCCAAACUCCUACGGGAGGCAGCAGUAGGGAAUCUUCCACAAUGGACGCAAGUCUGAUGGAGCAACGCCGCGUGAGUGAAGAAGGUCUUCGGAUCGUAAAACUCUGUUGUUAGAGAAGAACACGAGUGAGAGUAAC
rnacentral:rRNA from 1 species